AUGCAGUCAAAAUGGGCGGUGGGAAAGAGAAGGAGGAAUCCUAAUGGAAGCCAAGUGAUGUCAUCCUACAGGCCAGCUUCUCUGACUCAGAGGCAGUGUGGGGAAAAGACAGAGGAAGAGCAGGGCCAAAUGGGAGAUUCCAGCACCUUCUCCUUGGGGAUUUGAAUUCUAUCUAAUAAGCCUUUCAAAGCAGGGUUAUUAGACUUCUGUGAGCCACAGACCCUUUUGAGAACUUGAAAACUAAUAAUCUCUUGGCCCAAAGACAUGCACAUAAUAACAUACACAAAUGUGGCAUGCACUUUUAGGGAGCAUUCCAUAGCUCCUUGACUCCAUCCUAAGUCUCAGUUUAAGAAAGUCUGCUGUAGUAUUAAUAAGAUUUAGGAAUCUUAUUUUUUAUCUCACAUAAAGCUGUUAAUUCUACUUUCUUUGGUGAAAUUCAAAAGAUCAAAAU
rnacentral:lncRNA from 1 species